UACGUAGGGGGCAAGCGUUGUCCGGAUUUAUUGGGCGUAAAGCGCACGCAGGCGGUCUGUUCAGUUUGGAGUGACAGUUCCUGGCUCAACCGGGAAAGUGCUUCGAAUACUGGCGGACCUGAGGGCUUCAGAGGGACACGGAAUUCCGGGUGGAGUGGUGAAAUGCGUAGAGAUCCGGAGGAACACCAAAGGCGAAGGCAGUGUCCUGGGGAGUACCUGACGCUCAGGUGCGAAAGCCAGGGGAGCGAACGGA
rnacentral:rRNA from 1 species